rnacentral:rRNA from 1 species
GGACUGCAGUCUGCAACUCGACUGCACGAAGCUGGAAUCGCUAGUAAUCGCGGAUCAGCACGCCGCGGUGAAUACGUUCCCGGGCCUUGUACACACCGCCCGUCACACCAUGGAAGUCUGCAAUGCCCGAAGCCGGUGGCCUAACCACUUAUGUGGAAGGAGCCGUCUAAGGCAGGGCAGAUGACUGGGGUGAAGUCGUAACAAGGUAGC